CCUUUGAUUUCACCACCGUAAGUGCAGUCUUGGUGUUGACAAAGAUGUUUAAUGUUAAUUGUGGUGAAUCACAUUACAACUGUUCUUAUCUUCAGUCUGACAUGCCAUAUCUGAGGAGUUGGUGGUGCAAGGUUUUGCUCGAGAACCUUGAGAUUGAGGGACAUGGUCGAAGAUUUGCGCAUUUUACACAGGAAGGCAGGAAGAUGGGGGAUGGAAGUCUGCCGCCUGUUUUUCGUGUCCUUAGGAAAAGGAGAUACAGCACUUUGGUACCUAUGAUCCCAGCAAAGAUGUUAAGGGUUUCACAGGAUGGGGCUGUGUCCACUGACAUUUUGCAGUU